GUUCAAGAGUACGUGAAACCGUUCAGGGGUAAACCUGAGAAACCCAAAAGAUCGAAUAGGGAGAUUCAUCGUCAGYAUGUCUUAUAUAUAUAUGAGUUAUGAUGCGAGUUACUUUUGUAUUGCUUGCACAUUCUUGUAUAUUUAGUUGUGAGAUAURUCGGCGUGCACUUCUCCCUUAGUAGAACAUCGCAACCCGUUGAAUGUUAGUCUAUGACUCGAGUGGGAGUCUUUAACGUUUUUAACAUUGAAGACCCUUGGUGUUCUGACUGACUGUUCGACGGUACUCGUAUGGUAUUAAGUCGCAUACUUUAUGCGUCCAUAUCYAUCACAAGUGAGGUUAAUUUCUGGCAGUACGGACCUAGUGCCGUCGUUGGAUUURACCAGCUGUUGGUUGAUGGUAUUCUGGRACUGAUUUAUACCG
rnacentral:rRNA from 1 species